rnacentral:rRNA from 1 species
CACGUAGGGGCAAGCGUUGUCCGGAAUUACUGGGCGUAAAGGGUGCGCAGGCGGGAGAUUAAGUCGGCGGUGAAAUUUUGCAGCUCAACUGUAAAAGUGCCUUCGAAACUGGUUUCCUUGAGUGUAGAUGAAGUAGGCGGAAUUUGUGGUGUAGCGGUGAAAUGCAUAGAUAUCACGAGGAACUCCGAUUGCGCAGGCAGCUUACUAAACUACUACUGACGCUCAGGCACGAAGGCGUGGGGAUCAAACAGGAUUAGAUACCCCUGUA